rnacentral:rRNA from 1 species
AGGGUUCGAUUCUGGCUCAGGAUGAACGCUGGCGGCGUGCUUAACACAUGCAAGCGAACGAAGCAACUAUCACGAUCCCUUCGGGGUGACGAUUGUUGACUGAGUGGCGGACGGGUGAGUAACGCGUGGGUAACCUACCUGUACAGGGGGACAACAGUUGGAAACGACUGCUAAUACCGCAUAAGCGCACAGCUUCGCAUGAAGCAGUGUGAAAAGUUUUUCGGUACAAGAUGGACCCGCGUCUGAUUAGCUAGUUGGUGAGGUAACGGCCCACCAAGGCGACGAUCAGUAGCCGACCUGAGAGGGUGACCGGCCACAUUGGGACUGAGACACGGCCCAAACUCCUACGGGAGGCAGCAGUGGGGAAUAUUGCACAAUGGGCGAAAGCCUGAUGCAGCGAACCGCCGCGUGAGCGAAGAAGUAUUUCGGUAUGUAAAGCUCUAUCAGCAGGGAAGAUAAUGACGGUACCUGACUAAGAAGCACCGGCUAAAUACGUGCCAGCAGCUGC